rnacentral:rRNA from 1 species
UACGUAGGGUGCAAGCGUUAUCCGGAAUUAUUGGGCGUAAAGAGCUCGUAGGCGGUUUGUCGCGUCUGCUGUGAAAACUGGGGGCUCAACCCCCAGCCUGCAGUGGGUACGGGCAGACUAGAGUGCGGUAGGGGAGAUUGGAAUUCCUGGUGUAGCGGUGGAAUGCGCAGAUAUCAGGAGGAACACCGAUGGCGAAGGCAGGUCUCUGGGCUAUAACUGACG